CCCCAUCCUGGAGGGCGACGGGAGGAGGCUCCCCCAGAUCCUCCCUGCCCACCUGAACUCCAGAAAGGGAGGACGAGGAGCCGGGACCGGAGGCCGGGCGGCUCAGACCCCGGGCGCAGGGGGCGCAGGCAGCGGGGCGGGUCUCUCCGGGGACUUCGGCCGCCCUGAGGCGGGCCCAGGCGGCCGCCCGCAGCGGCAGGGACUUCUUCUGGGAGUACCCAACCCGCUGCACAGGGCCCUUCAAGUGACACUGAGCCUUCCAGAGUCCCUCGGGCCUUUCAACAGGACUAGAGUCCGAGGUUUCUCGGAAUUUCCUGGACCUCGAUCCUCCGAGCUGGCAAUGCGCCUGAAUGAACAACCCGGAGGGGUCCCAGGAGCAGAGGCAUCUUUCCCAGGGCCGGGCCGCGACGAUUACACCCGGCAGGGCUCGGGUGUCCGCGCCGUCUAGGACCAGUCUCCAACCUCCUCGGCCGGGCCCAGCGCUUGGGAACCCCGCCCCCGCAGGCAACGGCUUAGGGCGCUGAGCGCGCCCGGGUUGAGGGCGUGGUCUUACGGCAAGCCAAUCCCAGGCCACACCGUGCUAGGGGUGGGGCGUGGUCCCACCCCUCCCCCUCAGCUUUUCGCGGCGGAAACUGUCCGGUGACCCAGGCAACCGCCGAAGCUAACCGCACACCUACGAAUUGCCUGCCAUCCGCCCGUGUGGAAACAGCCGUUCGCGAAGUCAAGGUCCUUUAAGGGACAAAAAGAACAAGGAAUUUAACUGAGGACAUUGACAGAAGCAGGGAAGCCUGCUAAAACGUUAGUGCAACAGUGCAUAUUUCAGGGUGCAGGAGAUGAAGAUAACUUGGACCAGAUGCAGUCUUGCUGUAUUGCCCAAGCUGAUCUCCAACUCUUGAACUCAAGCGAUCUUCCUGCCUCCACCUCCUGAGUAGCUGGGACUACAGGUGCUUGCCACCUUACUCCAUAAUUUCUAAUGUACAAAUCAGUCCUUAAAUCUAUUCCAAAGUAUUUUAUUCUCUUUCAGCUACUGUAUUUAGAAUGGUCUUUAAAUUUCCUUUCUGGG